rnacentral:misc_RNA from 1 species
GAAAGCAGGAGCAAUGUAGAAACCGUCCAAUUUGUUGUCCAAUUGGUACGUUUUAAGAGCCUGGCUGACGUAUUCGUAGGAAUUCAUGAUGGCGUGGUGAGUACCAGUACCAGUAGGAGCCUGGAAAAGACUGUCAACCAGACCCUUACCCCUUGCAAUGUCCUGUUGGUCAUCCGAUGUGUUAUCAUAAAGACCCUUCCAUCUGUCCUCUUUCGUUUCGUCUACUUCUUGAGCUACAAUCCUCAAGUUCCUGUUUGAAACCUUGGGGCCGGAAACACCUUUUGCAUACACUUUUUUCAAGGAUUUUCCAAAGAAGGCGGUGCUUGGAACGGAAGUUCCAGCAACUGAGUUGUUCAAACUCAAUGGUGCUUUGCUGGCAGCUCCAAUGGUUGACACUGAGGCAGCCAUUCUUGAUGACUAAAAAGAAAUUGAUGAAAAAAGCUUCCUUGAUUUGCCUUAAAAAUUUGAAAAAAAUUGUUGAUGAAAAAAAAGUAUGGGAAGAGAUAGGCUUUAUAGUAGUAGUUAGUUGUAAGGAGUGUGUGGGAAAUAAGUGUAACAAAAUUAUGUGGAUUUGGCUUGCCU